CUCAUUCUCCUCCUAUUUUUGUUCAAAUCUCUCUAAAAUCCCAAUACUAUAAUUUUGAUUCACCUUGUCGAGCCAAAACCUAGAGCCUACACCCAACGUUCAAAUCUCACCAUCGUGAACCCCAAUUGUAUCGUCCCCCUCGCAAUGUCGCACCCCACCAUGCCCUUCAUCGUGAUGUGGUUAUUUGAACAAACUCAGUUUUUGAGCUUGCACAACCCCAAAAUUAGCAGCGCCUCCGUCAACUACAUAAUUGCCACAAACUCUCUUCCAUCUCUUCGCCUUCAUCUCGAAUCCACUGUUGCCCCUCUAUGCAUCGCCACUGCUUCCUCUCACCAAACCUUUUACUCUUUCGCUGCCAUUUGUUCAUAGAUCUCUCUAGUGUUUCGAGUUCAAUAAGGUGUGACUUGACAAUUUCUUCACAUGUUUGUCAGUGACAUCAAGAGUCUGGAACAUCAUUAGAACCAACAUAGGCUCUGCGAUGACAAUCUUGAAGGGCUUUCACUGGAAUGGAAGUUUGUAGUUUGCAUUUUUUUGCUCUUCAAAUCUGGUUUUGACUUUUGAAAGUAACGGAUGCAUUUUUUCCCUUUAAUAUUUUGAGGUUUUUAUUUGAGUUUUGAUCUUUGUAUUUGGCUUUUUGUUAAGGUGCGAUGGUGCUUCUGAGAAGAUCCUAAAAUCUGGUGGGGUCGUGUUGGAGGAAGCUAUCCAUACUCUAGUACUGAUUGUGGGACCUUCAAAUUUGGCAAAGCAAAAAGAUUGUAGCAUCAAUGGCAAAAUUUAGUGUCAUCUCAGUUGAUGAAUACCAAUUGUUGCAAAUCUUGCAUAGGGAGUAGUUAAUGGAAUUGCUAUUCAGGGAGGGACUUUUGAUUGGUUUGGUUUGAGGUACAACACUAUGUAAAUAUGGUUUUCUUUCUUUCCUGUUUUUAUGUAAUCACUUGAGAUUGUUGUGUACCUAUAACAUUUUUUGGCAUGUUUAAUUUUGUUAUGGUUAAAGCUUUCUUUUGGUUUGCUCUGUUAGGCUAGGGGAUUGGUCACAACUUUAGCCAAAUCCUAAGUUGUAUAUAUAUAUAUAUAUAUAUAUAUAUAUAUAUAUAUAUAUAUAUAUAUAUAUAUAUAUAUAUAUAUAUAUAUAUAUAUAUAUAAUAUGUUCCUAUUUUAUGUUAAAAAACACCCAUUUUGUAUGCUAAUAAUGUAGCAAGUAGCAAGCAUAACCAUACAAGUUGUAGGAAUCAUUGUUUCAAAUCAUGGAGCUUGCCAACUUGACUAUUCCCCUUCAACUAGUUUGGUUUUGAAAGAGGUACUAGAUCCUAAUCAUUUUUGGAAUUUCUUAUAUUAAUUGAAAUACAUAUGAACCACUUCUAAUGCUAUCAUUCUUGAUAGUGGAACUAAAAUCUUGCUCAUUCUUUGUUUGAUUUUACUCAAUCAUGCAAUAUUCACUAAGACUCAUAUACUACAUUGGCCUGAUUCAGAGUCAAGCAAGUAAGUAACUAUAAAUUGUAAUUUUGUAACCCCUGUAUUUAGUACAUUAUGUUGUACUUAGUAUAUUGUUUGUAAGACAUGUUAAUCUUAGGCUUUAUUAUUGUAGUGAGCAUUUCCCCUCAUAACUUUUCUAAAUAUUCAUUGUAUUUAAAAUACUUUUAUUUAUCUAAUUUUAUUAUAUUACUAAUAUCACUUGAUCCGGAAACAGCCUCUUUGCAUAUGCAAAGGUAAGGCUGCGUACAAUAUCCCUUCCCCAUACCUUCGCAUAGCGAAGAGCCUCUGGGCAAUGGGGUACGAAGUUUUUUUACUAAUAUCACUUGAAUUUAUUAUACAUCACAGGGUGACAUUUCGUGUGGCCUAGCUUUAUGUAUAGUAGUUUUAUCACUUGACCUCCUCACCAUGUUUGGCUUGUGUAGAUUUCUUAAUUGAUUUCCUUAACAAAAUUUGGGAAUGCAGGUCAAAAUGAAGCUAAUUAAUCUUAGGCAUGCACAAAUGUAUGUAUAUGCCUUUCCAUGUUGGUUGUUGUUACUAAUAAGUAUAUGUCUUCUUUGUUGUUACUAGAAAAAAUGGCAUAAUAUAAUUCAUUAAUUUUUUUAUUCUUAUUUAUUUUGUUAUCCUUUUGGAUAUUUUCCAUAGGUUUCACCUAUAGAAAAAAUAGUUUGUUGCUCAACAAAGUAAUUAGAUAAUACAGUAUUUCUCAGUCAUUAUUGUUUCAUUUUCCUUUAUGUUCUAUUUUUUGUUGCCAAAUUUUCUCUCUAUUUUCUCAAACGGAUAAUACAUCUGCAGAAAUACAUUUUCAAAUAAAAUAAUUGAAUUCUAAGUUAUAAUGAAACAAAGUGUUCUUGGGUCAACAUUUUAUGUGGGUGUCCUAAUACAAGGCAGUUUUCUCAAAGCAUAUAAGCCUUAUGUAGUAGCUAUUACCCUUGGGCAAUGCAUCCUCAAUUCAUUAUCCUUCAAUACUAACUACUCUGUCAUACUAUUUUGUAGGUAUUUCAUGUAUUGAAGCUAGGAGAAGAGCAGAUAUCAGAGCUCUGGCUCUAAACAAGGAUAACACAAAUCUUUUGGUUUCAACUUUGGAUAAGCAAUCGAUAAUCUUCACUGACCCAAUUGUAAGUUAAAUUUACUUGAAAUUAGCCUGCUGAACUAAUUUUCUUUGCUUUGUGCAGGCAGGAAGACUUAGUAGGAUACUAAUGAGGAGAGAACAAGCAAAUGGAAGGUUCUGAUGAACUUAUUUAUGUUGUUUAUAUUAUGUAAGGUUUAAUGAGUAGUAUAUGUUUAGAAUAUUUGACUACAAUUUGUUUAGAUUAAUGUAUUUGAUGCUUUUAUUGUUAAGCAAAUA